rnacentral:lncRNA from 1 species
CACCCCGGGUGUCAGUCACUGCAGACAUCACUGCAGACACAGAGAUGGCCAUUAGAGCUCACCACCCCGGGUGUCAGUCACUGCAGACAUCACUGCAGACACAGAGACGGCCAUUAGAGCUCACCACCCCGGGUGUUAGUCACUGCAGACAUCACUGCAGACACAGAGACGGCCAUUAGAGCUCACCACCCCGGGUGUUAGUCACUGCAGACAUCACUGCAGACAUCACUACAGACACAGAGAUGGCCAUUAGAGCUCACCACCCCAGGCGUUAGUCACUGCAGACAUCACUGCAGACAUCACUGCAGACACAGAGACGGCCAUUAGAGCUCACCACCCCAAGUGUUAGUCACUGCAGACAUCACUGCAGACAGAGAUGGCCAUU